rnacentral:rRNA from 1 species
AGAGUUUGAUCCUGGCUCAGGACGAACGCUGGCGGCGUGCUUAACACAUGCAAGUCGAGCGAAGAGCGAAAACGAGUUUUCGGACGAAUUUUCAAUCUUAGCGGCGGACGGGUGAGUAACGCGUGAGAAACCUGCCUUGUACUAGGGGAUAGCCUCGGGAAACCGGGAUUAAUACCCUAUGAUACUAGAGCUUCACAUGAAGCACUAGUUAAAGCGUUUAGUGGUGCAAGAUGGUCUCGCGUCCCAUUAGCUAGUUGGUGAGGUAACAGCUCACCAAGGCGACGAUGGGUAGCCGGCCUGAGAGGGUGAACGGCCACAUUGGAACUGAGACACGGUCCAAACUCCUACGGGAGGCAGCAGUGGGGAAUAUUGCACAAUGGGGGAAACCCUGAUGCAGCGACGCCGCGUGAGCGAUGAAGGUCUUCGGAUCGUAAAGCUCUGUCCUAAGGGACGAUAAUGACGGUACCUUAGGAGGAAGCCCCGGCUAACUACGUGCCAGCAGCCGCGGUAAUACGUAGGGGGCUAGCGUUGUCCGGAUUUACUGGGCGUAAAGGGUGCGUAGGCGGUCUUGUAAGUCAGAUGUGAAAUUCCACGGCUUAACUGUGGUAAGCAUUUGAAACUGCAAGGCUUGAGUACAGGAGAGGAGAGUGGAAUUCCUAGUGUAGCGGUGAAAUGCGUAGAUAUUAGGAGGAAUACCAGUGGCGAAGGCGACUCUCUGGACUGUAACUGACGCUGAUGCACGAAAGCGUGGGGAGCAAACAGGAUUAGAUACCCUGGUAGUCCACGCUGUAAACG